rnacentral:tmRNA from 1 species
GGGGAUGCACUGGUUUCGACGGGGUGUGUGAAUGUUGUAGUUGCUCCGCCGCGCCUUAAUUGCUUGUCAGGCGCGUUAUUAAAUGACAGGUGAAAACAAAUGCUACGAACUCUUAUGAGUAUCGUCUUGCUGCGUAACUAAACAGUUACAAGUGAGCAUCCUGCCCGUGAUUUCCUACGGUAACGGUUGAUGUGGGUGUCGAUAAAAUUGUAGGAUUGAAAGCGAAAUUCCACAGAUGAUUGAGCUUUUGAAAAAUAUGUCUGUUAAGCAGUAAAUACCGUGUCUUUGCGGUCGUUAUUGACGAAAAAUCAAUUAAAGACUAAGCGGCGUAGAAGUUACUGCAUUUCCAUUUCGGACGCGGGUUCGAUUCCCGCCAUCUCCACUA